UGUUUUCAUGCGACCAAUCAGAUCACUUCUCGUUUUGGUUUUCGCCAGGGCCUCCGGCAACGCCGUGUCAGCCGUGAGGCCCUGGGACCGAGGAUGUGCAUAUACACGCGCGUAUGAAAAACGCUUAACUGGAAAGCAGCCUAAUUAAAUCGCCAUUAUAAUUUUAAUUAAUAAUAUUUGUAUUCUUUAUAGUCUUUUGCCCCUAACAUUAUCGAGGAUGGAAGCGGAAUUAUUUUACUUCAACAUUCAACAAUCUACAUUAUUAUAUAUCAAUAGUCAAAGUCGCAUUUUUCUAGUGUUUUAUUGGUUGAGAGCAUAUCACGUGAGAGUGAUGAAAUUAGGCUGUCUCCCUCGCAACAGCGCGAGAGGAAGAUAAUAUGUUAUCGACCGGCGAAUAACAAAAAAAUCACGUGCGCCAUCACGUGAAGAUGCGACCAUUGGACAUGCCUAGCACGCAAUCAAAACUUUCGCUUUAAGUAACUGCAGUGUAGCCAGUGUUUAAUAUAAC